rnacentral:rRNA from 1 species
CCUACGGGCGGCAGCAGUGGGGAAUAUUGGACAAUGGGCGAAAGCCUGAUCCAGCCAUGCCGCGUGUGUGAAGAAGGCCUUCGGGUUGUAAAGCACUUUCAGUGGGGAAGAAAGCCUUGGGGCUAAUACCCUCGAGGAAGGACAUCACCCACAGAAGAAGCACCGGCUAACUCCGUGCCAGCAGCCGCGGUAAUACGGAGGGUGCGAGCGUUAAUCGGAAUUACUGGGCGUAAAGCGCGCGUAAGCGGUCUGAUAAGCCGGUUGUGAAAGCCCCGGGCUCAACCUGGGAACGGCAUCCGGAACUGUCAGGCUAGAGUGCAGGAGAGGAAGGUAGAAUUCCCGGUGUAGCGGUGAAAUGCGUAGAGAUCGGGAGGAAUACCAGUGGCGAAGGCGGCCUUCUGGACUGACACUGACGCUGAGGUGCGAAAGCGUGGGUAGCAAACAGGAUUAGAUACCCCAGUAGUC